rnacentral:rRNA from 1 species
GACGAACGCUGGCGGCGUGCUUAACACAUGCAAGUCGAACGGAAAGGCCUUUUCGGAGGUACUCGAGUGGCGAACGGGUGAGUAACACGUGGGCGAUCUGCCCUGCACUCUGGGAUAAGCCUGGGAAACUGGGUCUAAUACCGGAUAGGACUGCACUUUAGUGUGUGUGGUGGAAAGUUUUUUCGGUGUAGGAUGAGCCCGCGGCCUAUCAGCUUGUUGGUGGGGUAAUGGCCUACCAAGGCGGCGACGGGUAGCCGGACUGAGAGGUUGGUCGGCCACAUUGGGACUGAGAUACGGCCCAGACUCCUACGGGAGGCAGCAGUGGGGAAUAUUGCACAAUGGGCGCAAGCCUGAUGCAGCGACGCCGCGUGGGGGAUGACGGCCUUCGGGUUGUAAACUCCUUUCGCCAGGGACGAAGCGUUUUGUGACGGUACCUGGAGAAGAAGCACCGGCUAACUACGUGCCAGCAGCCGCGGUAAUACGUAGGGUGCAAGCGUUGUCCGGAAUUACUGGGCGUAAAGAGCUCGUAGGUGGUUUGUCACGUCGUCUGUGAAAUUCCACAGCUUAACUGUGGGCGUGCAGGCGAUACGGGCUGACUUGAGUACUGUAGGGGUAACUGGAAUUCCUGGUGUAGCGGUGAAAUGCGCAGAUAUCAGGAGGAGCACCGAUGGCGAAGGCAGGUUACUGGGCAGUUACUGACGCUGAGGAGCGAAAGCAUGGGUAGCAAACAGGAUUAGAUACCCUGGUAGUCCAUGCCGUAAACGGUGGGCGCUAGGUGUAGGGGCCUUUUGGGGUUUCUGUGCCGUAGCUAACGCAUUAAGCGCCCCGCCUGGGGAGUACGGCCGCAAGGCUAAAACUCAAAGGAAUUGACGGGGGCCCGCACAAGCGGCGGAGCAUGUGGAUUAAUUCGAUGCAACGCGAAGAACCUUACCUGGGCUUGACAUACACCAGAUCGCUGCAGAGAUGUAGUUUCCCUUGUGGCUGGUGUACAGGUGGUGCAUGGUUGUCGUCAGCUCGUGUCGUGAGAUGUUGGGUUAAGUCCCGUAACGAGCGCAACCCUUGUUGUUAGUUGCCAGCAUUAAGUUGGGCACUUUAACGAGACUGCCGGUGAUAAACCGGAGGAAGGCGGGGAUGACGUCAAAUCAUCAUGCCCCUUAUGAGCUGGGCUACACACGUGCUACAAUGGAUGGUACAACGAGCAGCGAUCCCGCAAGGGCUAGCUAAUCUUUCAAAGCCAUUCUCAGUUCGGAUUGCACUCUGCAACUCGAGUGCAUGAAGUCGGAAUCGCUAGUAAUCGCGAAUCAGAAUGUCGCGGUGAAUCCGUUCCCGGGUCU